rnacentral:rRNA from 1 species
AUGUCUUCCUCCGGCUCCUCCCACCCAAACCUCAACCAGCAGGUCACGGAGAAGCUUACCCGCACAAACUAUGUUCUGUGGCGCGCCCAGAUUGUGCCGCAGCUGCGGGGCGCUGGUGUCUUCGGCUAUGCCGACGGCACCACACCGGAGCCGGCCUGACUCCUCGUCACCAAGGACAAAGACGGGAAGGAGUCAUCUACGCCCAACCCUCUCCACCCAAUUUGGGUACGGGAGGACCAGCAGGUUCUUGGUUACCUGCUUAACAAUCUCUCCAAGGAGGUCCUUGUGCAGGUGACCACGAUCACCACGUCGCCUGCGCUCUGGGCUGCUCUGGCGGGCAUGUUCUUGUCUCAGUCGCUCAGCCGGGUGAACAAUAUUUGGACGACCCUCAUCAACGCGCAGAAGGGGACUCAAUCCGUCUCCACCUACUUCGCCCACAUGUGCGGCUUCGUGGACAAACUCGCCAGGCCGGCAAGCCUCUGCAAGAUAACGAGCUUGUCUCCUAUAUUCUCCAUGGGCUGGACAUGGACUACCAGACCCUGGUGUCUGCCCUCGACGCCCGCAUCACGCCGGUCUCCAUCGACGAGCUCUUCUCCAUGA